AUUGAACGCUGGCGGCAGGCCUAACACAUGCAAGUCGAACGAUUGGCGGACGUGUGAGUAAUGUCUGGGAAACUGCCUGAAGGAGGGGGCUAACAACUGGAAAUGGUAGCUAAUCACGCAUACCAACAGCUGUGCCCAGAUGGGAUUGGCUUGUUGGUGGGGUAAAGGCUAAGGAAGGCGACGAUCCCUAGCUGGUCUGAGAGGAUGCCCAGCCACACGGGAACUGAGACACGGUCUAGACUCCUGCGGGAGGCAGCAGGGGGGAAUAUUGCGCAAUGGGCGCAAGCCUGAUGCAGCCAUGCCGCGUGUAUGAAGAAGGCCGUCGGGUUGUAAAGUACUGUCAGCGGGGAGGCGUUACCCGAAGAAGAAGCACCGGCUAACUCCGUGCCAGCAGCCGCGGUAAUUC
rnacentral:rRNA from 1 species